CCUACGGGUGGCUGCAGUAGGGAAUAUUGCACAAUGGAGGAAACUCUGAUGCAGCGACGCCGCGUGAGUGAUGAAGGACUUCGGUUCGUAAAGCUCUGUCGUAUGGGAAUAAUAAAGUGAAGGUACCAUGCAAGAAAGGAUCGGCUAACUUCGUGCCAGCAGCCGCGGUAAGACGAGGGAUCCUAGCGUUGUUCGGAAUCAUUGGGCGUAAAGCGGGUGUAGGCGGCUUCGUAAGUCAGGUGUGAAAGCCCAGGGCUCAACCCUGGAAGUGCAUU
rnacentral:rRNA from 1 species